rnacentral:rRNA from 1 species
GCGGCAGCACGGGAAGCUUGCUUCCUGGUGGCGAGGGGCGGACGGGAGAGUAAUGCAUAGAAAUCUGCCCGGUAGUGGGGGAUAACCUGGGGAAACCCAGGCUAAUACCGCAUACGUCCUACGGGAGAAAGCAGGGGAUCUUCGGACCUUGCGCUAUCGGAUGAGUCUAUGUCGGAUUAGCUUGUUGGUGAGGUAAUGGCUCACCAAGGCGACGAUCCGUAGCUGGUCUGAGAGGAUGAUCAGCCACAUCGGGACUGAGACACGGCCCGAACUCCUACGGGAGGCAGCAGUGGGGAAUAUUGGACAAUGGGCGAAAGCCUGAUCCAGCCAUGCCGCGUGUGUGAAGAAGGCCUUCGGGUUGUAAAGCACUUUCAGUGGGGAAGAAAGCCUUGGGGCUAAUACCCUCGAGGAAGGACAUCACCCACAGAAGAAGCACCGGCUAACUCCGUGCCAGCAGCCGCGGUAAUACGGAGGGUGCGAGCGUUAAUCGGAAUUACUGGGCGUAAAGCGCGCGUAGGCGGUCUGAUAAGCCGGUUGUGAAAGCCCCGGGCUCAACCUGGGAACGGCAUCCGGAACUGUCAGGCUAGAGUGCAGGAGAGGAAGGUAGAAUUCCCGGUGUAGCGGUGAAAUGCGUAGAGAUCGGGAGGAAUACCAGUGGCGAAGGCGGCCUUCUGGACUGACACUGACGCUGAGGUGCGAAAGCGUGGGUAGCAAACAGGAUUAGAUACCCUGGUAGUCCACGCCGUAAACGAUGUCGACUAGCCGUUGGGGUCCUUGAGACCUUUGUGGCGCAGUUAACGCGAUAAGUCGACCGCCUGGGGAGUACGGCCGCAAGGUUAAAACUCAAAUGAAUUGACGGGGGCCCGCGCAAGCGGUGGAGCAUGUGGUUUAAUUCGAUGCAACGCGAAGAACCUUACCUA